rnacentral:sRNA from 1 species
AAAAAUAACAACACUUUUAUUUUUAUCCUCCAACUUCUAUUAUAAAUAUCUUGAUAAAUUUUUCACUUUUGGAUUUAUUUUUUUCUAAUCUUAAUUCUCCAUUUUCCAAUAAAAUAAUAUAUUGAAAAACAGUUUAUAUUUGCAAUUAACGACGUUAAUAAUGGCAAUCCAAUUGCAAAAACUUCCCGAAAAUGGGGAAUACCUAAAUUGACAUUUUAAAAUCGAUUUAAAAAUUUUCAAAUUUAUAAAAAAACACAAAACCCUUUUUAAAAGUUUUUUACGGAAUAGGAAAAACAUUUGGUUAAUUGGGUAUUUACCCAAAUAGUUUUAAAAUUUCCGCCAACGUAUUAAAAAUUACGUUUUUUUGCCGAACGAAUUUUUUAAACCGCCGGAAAAAUAAAAAACCUUGGAAAACGUUGGAUAAUUUGUUUUUUGGCUCGUUAUCCAAUUUUUAAAACCCAAAGGCCCCGUCGAAUAAAUAACGCCCGGGUUAAUAACGUUAUUACGGAAAUAAUUAAAUUUUGGUGGUUUUAUAUUACGAACCCGGUUAUUAACGUUAUUAAACCGGAAAACCGUUGGAAUAUGGACGAAACCGGUAUAAUAGAAAAUAAAAGAUUUAACGGCCUGGUAUUAGGGUUUAACGGGAUCCGGCCGUUGUAACGGAAAAAGCCCGGAACGCGGGGUUGGACAACUAUAAUCGAAUAUAUAUCGGCUACGGGCGUUACCCUCCCUCCCUUUAUUAUAUUUAAGGGAAAAAACGUAUAAUAAUAAUAAUUUCCGACGGAUUUAAAUUUUUUCGAUAAUUGGAAAUUUUACGCAACCGAAAACGGGUGGACAAAUAACGAAACGGCUAUCGAAUGGUUAAAAAAAAUAUUUAUUCCGUAUAUCUAAUUUUUAACCCCUGAAAAACGGUUAUUAAUUUUAAAUGGCUAUGGAUUAUAUAUAACGGACGAAUUUAUAUUUUUUUAUUUACAAAAUAAUAUUUAAUUCCUAUAUUUACCCCUUUAUUCGUUACACGUUCUCCAACCAUUGGAUUUAUCGGUUUUUGGGCCGUUAAAAGAAAUUUAUCGACGUUAAUUUGGAUUUGUUAACCAAUUUUGCUGUUUAACAAUUAUUGGAAAACGAAAUUUCCUAUUUUAUUAUCGAAAAACCAAAUUAAAAAUAUUUAUAGCAAAACCAUUUAA